rnacentral:tRNA from 1 species
AUUCUAGAAGUUUUAAAAAUAUUAACUUGUGGCGUUAAAGAGGUGGCACCCACCUAGAAUA